rnacentral:rRNA from 1 species
CCCUUAGACGUUCUGGGCCGCACGCGCGCUACACUGACCAGUGCAACAAGCAUCCGUCCUUGGCCGACAGGCCCGGGCAAUCUUUGAACGCUGGUCGUGAUGGGGAUAGACUUUUGCAAUUUUUGGUCUUCAACGAGGAAUUCCUAGUAAACGCAAGUCAUCAACUUGCAUUGAUUACGUCCCUGCCCUUUGUACACACCGCCCGUCGCACCUACCGAUUGAAUGGUCCGGUGAAGCCUCCGGAUUGGCGCGCACCUCGGUGCCGCCGAGAAGUUGGCUAAACCUUACCAUCUAGAGGAAGGUGAAGUCGUAACA